rnacentral:rRNA from 1 species
GGACCCGCACAAGCAGCGGAGCAUGUGGUUUAAUUCGAAGCAACGCGAAGAACCUUACCAGGGCUUGACAUCCCUCUGACCGGCCGGUAACGCGGCCCUCCCUUCGGGGCAGAGGUGACAGGUGGUGCAUGGUUGUCGUCAGCUCGUGUCGUGAGAUGUUGGGUUAAGUCCCGCAACGAGCGCAACCCUUGUCAUUAGUUGCCAUCAUUUAGUUGGGCACUCUAAUGAGACUGCCGGGGACAACUCGGAGGAAGGUGGGGAUGACGUCAAAUCAUCAUGCCCCUUAUGUUCUGGGCUACACACGUGCUACAAUGGCCGGUACAGAGAGACGCAAUGUCGCGAGGCGGAGCAAAACUCUAAAACCGGUCCCAGUUCGGAUUGCAGGCUGCAACUCGCCUGCAUGAAGUCGGAGUUGCUAGUAAUCGCGAAUCAGAACGUCGCGGUGAAUGCGUUCCCGGGUCUU